rnacentral:sRNA from 1 species
AUCGGUUUGGAAUACAGACCUAUUUAUGUAAGACAUUGUAAUUAAGUAGUUCCUAGUUCAAGUGAUGCAUCCAGUCCCUUAUCCGACGAAUUUCCUUUUUAUAAGUGCCCAUAAGUAAUCACUGUAACAGACCUUACUCCGCCCUAUAGUGGCUAUCUAAAUAUAUAAAGGAAAUUAUCUAUGUCUAAUAAAAUGACUGGAUUGGUAAAAUGGUUUGACGCUGGCAAAGGUUUUGGUUUCAUUACCCCGACUGACGGCAGCAAAGACGUAUUCGUUCACUUCUCUGCCAUUCAAGGCCAGGGUAACGAUUACAAAAGCUUGGACGAAGGCCAGAAGGUCGAGUUCAGUGUUGAAAGCGGCCAGAAAGGCCCAUCAGCAGUGAACGUUAGUGUAAUCUAACGGUCUUCGGCGGAAGAUAAUUGACCAGGGUUUACCGCCUUCGCUUAAAUA